AGAAAAAAAUAACCUAAAUGUCAAGUAACUAAAAUAUGGAUAGAAAAUUGUCAUAAUCAUUGACUAGCAAGAAAAAUUUGAGCUACAUAAACAUGCAUGAAUCUUGCAGCAAAAGUAGUUGCAGAACACCACAUAUGCACAUCAUUUACAGAUUUAAAACCAUACACACAAUAUUAUAUUUGAAUGAUGUAUAAAUACGUAGUAUAACUAUGAAGAAACAAUGGGAAGGCCAGAGGGUAGACACAAAUGGGGAAGGAAGUCAAAUGGCAGCGGCCCUGCUUAUAUUUAAGCUGGGUGGUGGGUACACAAGUGUUCACUGUAUUAUUUCUGACUUUUGUGUCAGAAAAAUUAUUAUGAAUUAAAAAUAGCUAAAGAAUGCAAAAUGGAGACAACUCUUUUGGGAAACUUUACUAUGAAUAGCAGAGUCAAGAGAGGGUUAUUUAGAGACAAGGUCUUGCUCUGUUGUCCAGGCUGGAGUGCAGUGGCGCAAUUGCGGCUCACUACAGCCUUGACUUCCCAGGUUCAAGCGAGCCUCUCACCUUAGCCUCCCAAAGUGCUGGGAUUACAGGCAUGAGUCACUCUGCCUGGCUGAGUUUGUUUAAAAUAUGAAAUAUGCCCCUGAUAUUUUUUCUUUUUUUGAGAUGGAGUUUUCACCCUGUCACCCAGGAUGGAGUGCAGUAGUGCAAUCUCGGUUCACCGCAACUUCCACCUCUCAGGUUCAUGCAAGUCUCGUGCCUCAGCCUCCUGAGUAGCUGGGCUUACAGGCACCCGCCAGCACACUCAGUUAAUCUUUGUAUUUUUAGUAGAGACGAGGUUUCACCAUGUUGGACGGGCUGGUCUCAAAUUCCUGACCUCAAGUCAUCCGCCUGCCUCGGCCUCCCAAAGUGGCUGGGAUUAUAGGCAUGAACCACCGCACCUGGACUACUGCCCCUGAUACUCUUAACCAAGGAUUUCUACCUGCCUUCUACCCACAAGGUGCUCCCUAAGCAGCACUAGAGGCCUCAAUUUUCCUGACCAGCUCAAAGAUAAACGGACAGAAUAACUCCCACUGCUCAAGCAUGGGCUGCACACACUAUUGUAGAGAAACCGGAUAAGUAGUUGAGGCCAACUUCAGCAGCCAUAAAGCACACAGACAGCAGGUAUCCUUGAUAUGAGGACAACAACAUUUUACCUUGGGGAUAUCGCUCCAAAAACCCAUUUGCCAGUCAUAAUAAGAAAAAACAGCAAAUUCCAAUAGAAAGCAACUUGCAAUAUACCUGACCAGCAUCAGCAUUCUCAGCACCCUCAAGAGCAAGGAGUCUGAGAAAAUGGCACAGCCAAGAGGAGAAUAAGAAAACAUGACGACUAAACGUACUGUAGACUCCCUGAACAGAAAAAGAAAUUAAGCCUCGAUUCUAUCUUGGCAAUAUCUUGAGCUCUUCAGAAGUGACAGAAUCUCUGAUAUUUAUUGUCUAGUUUUAAAACACUGCCACAGAUGGGGUAAUCAAGCAUCUACCUGGCAAAGUUUUCUUCUUCCUAGCAUAUAGCUAUGACCAUAAAUGUGUAACUUACUGAAAUCUUUAAAAGGAGCCAGAAAAAGCUUGCCCAGAGAGAUUGGUAAAGAUUUCCUAAAAGAGUGGUGUCACUUGAGCUAAGUCAGCCCCUGCAGACGCAGAGAGCAGGGGAUGUAUGCGGGCUGGGGUGGUUUAUAUAGGAAGCAAGAAAGGAUGGGAAAUAAGGCCACAGGGGCAGGUUGGGGGCCAGACCACAAAAAGCCUUUUGUGCUAUACCAAGGCUUUUGAUUUAUCCUGCAGACAACAUGGAACAAAUGGUUUUUUUUGUUUUUUGUUCGUUUUUUUUUUUGAGACGGAGUCUUGCUCUGUCACCCAGGCUGGAGUGCAGUGGUGCUAUCUCAGCUCACUGCAAGCUCCACCUCCCGGAUUCACAACAUUCUCCUGCCUCAGCCUCCCGAGUUAGCUGGGACUACAGGCGCCCGCCACCACACCCGGCUAAUUUUUUUGUAUUUUUAGUACGUUAGCCACUGCGCCCAGCCAAAUGAAGAUUUUUAAACAGGGCAAGGAUAUGAUUAGAGUUGGGGUUCAGAAGUUACUCUCAAGGCUUAAGAGUUUGGAUUGAAAGAUGAAGAGAUAGGAAGUAGGCAAAUGCUUGGGAAAGCACAGAUUUCAGUUUUGGAGGUGCUGAGAUCUGGGUGUCUGUCUCAGGCUGUGGACUGUGGGAGCUGUAGACUUAGGUGUCAGUGGUGCUCAAAGUUGCAAGGUUAAAGAUGGUACUUAAAACUCUAACUAGGUAGCAAGAGAUCGAGGCCAGAAGAAAUGCAUACACAAAGGCCUACGGAGAUUCACCAUUAGGAAGGAAAGUGGGGAGUGGAGUUGAGAGUGAGACACAUGGAGCGUCACUUAAGCCCUCACUCCAGAUAUGGGAACAACGUGAACCAGCAGAGAAGAAAAAGCUUUACAGUUGGAGGAAAUACUGUAAGUGUGUGCUCUGAGGAGGCUGCUGGAGCAAGGGAGGGUAAAUGGCACCAUGGAGCCAUCUGGACAAUCCAAUUAGGAGUCUGACCACAGAGGCCUUGGUUUGAACUUAACUUACCAGAAAACUAGGAGACAACUUUCUUUCUUUCAGUUACAAAUUUUUUUUUUCCUAGUAACCAUAUUAGAAAAGAAAAAGAGGCCAGGCCUGG
rnacentral:lncRNA from 1 species